rnacentral:rRNA from 1 species
CAGCCCUAAACGAUGCGCGUUAGGUGUAUCGGUGACCACGAGUCACCGAGGUGCCGAAGGGAAACCGUGAAACGUGCCGCCUGGGAAGUACGGUCGCAAGGCUGAAACUUAAAGGAAUUGGCGGGGGAGCACUACAACGGGUGGAGCCUGCGGUUUAAUUGGACUCAACGCCGGAAAACUCACCGGGGGCGACAGCAAUAUGUAGGUCAAGCUAAAGACUUUACCAGAAUCGCUGAGAGGAGGUGCAUGGCGUAGACGUCU